rnacentral:rRNA from 1 species
GAUGAACGCUAGCGGCAGGCUUAAUACAUGCAAGUCGAGGGGCAGCAUGAAUGUAGCAAUACAUUUGAUGGCGACCGGCAAACGGGUGCGGAACACGUACACAACCUUCCUAUAAGUGGGGAAUAGCCCAGAGAAAUUUGGAUUAAUACCCCGUAACAUAAUGAUGUGGCAUCACAUUAUUAUUAUAGCUACGGCGCUUAUUGAUGGGUGUGCGGCUGAUUAGAUAGUUGGCGGGGUAACGGCCCACCAAGUCUACGAUCAGUAGCUGAUGUGAGAGCAUGAUCAGCCACACGGGAACUGAGACACGGGCCCGAAUCCUACGGGAGGCAGCAGUAAGGAAUAUUGGUCAAUGGACGCAAGUCUGAACCAGCCAUGCCGCGUGGAGGAUUAAGGUCCUCUGGAUUGUAAACUUCUUUUAUCUGGGACGAAAAAAGGCUAUUCUUAGUCACUUGACGGUACCAGAUGAAUAAGCACCGGCUAACUCCGUGCCAGCCGCCGCCGUAAGAC